ACACUGCUGAGGAGUCCCACAAUAGGACGAAAAGGCCAUCCAGUGC
rfam:Schistosoma haematobium scaffold75_9, whole genome shotgun sequence.